ACACAGCGCCGGUAAAAACUGCAGCUCCGCGCGGAACAUGGAGGCCGUUUACACCCACGGAGUGUGGGUGGCCGAGGCUCUUCAGACUGAAACACGGAGAUACGAGGAUUUCUGGCUCUUCGCGACUCAUCUCGGAGACCCUAAAGCCGCGUUCCUGCUGGUCUUCCCGCUCGCCUUCUACCUGCACCGGCGCAGCGGCGUGGCCGUGCUGUGGGUCUCCGCGCUCUCCGAGUGGCUCAACCUGGUGUUUAAAUGGAUCCUGUUUGGACAGAGGCCAUACUGGUGGAUCGGAGAAUCCCAGUUAUUUGUGAAAAACGCACCUAAAGUGGAACAGUUCCAGUCCUCAUGUGAAACAGGACCAGGUAGUCCCUCUGGUCAUGCCAUGGUGACUGGUGCGGUGUGGUGGGUGGUCGUGUCAGCCCUAGCCUCCUUCCUGCACUCUCGGACUGGCAGUAAGGUCCUGGCUGCGAUACCUUACCUGUUCUACACUCUGCUGUUGGUGGUGGUCGGUCUGUCUCGAAUUUUUAUCUUGGCACACUUUCCUCACCAGGUCAUCGGGGGCACCAUAACAGGUGUGAUCCUGGGAGUGCUUCUAAACCGCACAGUGCCUGAGUCUCGCCACCUGCAGUUCUUCCUGUGCUCCAGCAUGGCUCUGCUGUUUGGAGCACUGCUUAUGUACGCUGGAUUGGAAAAUUUAGGAAUCGACCUUUCCUGUGUUGCAUGUGUAGCGGGAGUAAAUCACAGAAGGCAUUUCCUCACAAAAUGGACAGCGCAGCCGAUGGUAAUUGUCGUGACCAGCAUGUGUGAACAGACCCUGGCAGAAAUCACUCCCACAUUCAAUGCAAGAGGCCCCACAUGCAUAUCCCACAGGAGUGUAAAGGUGCUACUGAACCCUGGUCACCUGUGCUCUGUCUCAAGCUGCUGUUCUGCAGUUCUGUCUUUCUUUCAGGUUUACAUUGAAGCCAUUCUAUUUUACAAACUCCUAUCUCGCACUCCUGAAUACAUCUGAGGUAAGAGGAAAUUGUGCACAUUGUAUGUUUUACCAAACACUUCCUUUUUAAUCCCGGUAGAUAGUUACACCCUAAGUUAAGCAAGAUUUUAGCUCACUUCUAUAAGUCUAGCUUCAUUAUAAAAAUCCCUGAAGUGUCAAAAAGAGAGAGAGAGAGACAGCAGACAGUGAGACAAACAAAUCAUCAAAAAGAUAAAACACACAGCGGUUCCUCAGACUCUGGGAUGCAGACUUGAUACAGAGAGAAACCACAUACAGCUGCAUCAGAACCACAGAAGCUGCAUUACAGUAACAGUAAGGGGCUGAACUACAGACACACACAGAGACACCUGCAGUUACGCUCUGCAGACUGUAGGGGGCAGCAGAGACACAACAGCAGCUUUGGGUCAUUGCAAAACACGAGUUCUCUAAGAUUUACGGUAAGGUUAUUCAUUGCAGAUUCAGGCCCGUGGCUCACACAUACCGAUCUUAGCUCCUUUCUUAAGGAGGGCCACCACCACGGAAGUGUUCCUGCAGCCCACAGCCCGGUCCAAUGGCCGCAUCCCACUGUAGUCCACGUGCUCAAUCAGCGCCCCCUGAUCCACCAGGAACUGCACCUGAGACAGAAACGCUUUUCUCAUAAACUGGCCACAGCGUGUGAUUCUCUUUAAUUAUUACAGUUCUGCAUGAGGCACUCACUACAUCAGCAUCUCCAUAAAAGGCUGCCAGGUCAAGGGGUGUGCGUCCAUUCUUGUCAGCGUGGUCAGUGGCCGCGCCCCUCUCCACCAGAGAGCGGACAACAGGCAAGUGCCCUUUUAGACACGCCCAGCUUAAAGCAGUGAGCCCCUCCUUAUCCAUUAGAGGCAUUGAUGCACCUGCAGAGUAGUGUGAAGAAGUUGUGAUGAGACCAGCAUCAGACAUGCUUUUAGGUAUUAUAGACACUUUAGGCUAAAUAAUGCAUUUUACAGAUUUUACUGCAUUGAUAAGUUUCCUUAUCAGUGCAUACCCAUCAGUAGUGUUAAGAUCUAUUUGUAAUUUCUACCAUUUACAAUAUGUGGAAGAGAACUAUAGUAAAUACACACAAACAGGUAAAUUCUAUGUAGUAUAAACAAACAUAUACAUUUAGAUCAAUCACUCUUUAAAAAAAAAUGAGCUCAGUAAAAAUCAUAAGCUAUCAUUGCUGUGCGUUUUACCUUGAGCCAAAAGGUACUCCACUGUCUCUACAUGACCCUCUGAAGCAGCCAUCAUGAGAGGGGUCCGACCCUGCUUAUCUGCCUGGUUUACGUCUGCCCCAUGAGUCAGCAACAAAUCCACAAUCUGCAGGAGAAGCUUCUCAUCAUUCAAUCAAAACCCCUGUCCAAAAAAUAUGUACUAAGGGGACCCUAGCAUCCUGUUGGAGGUUCCAUACCUUCCAGUGUCCCUGACGAACAGCACUGAAGAGAGGCACCAGUCCCCGGCGGUUUGGUUGAGCCACAGCAGAGCCCUGCUCCAACAGCAGCCUGCAAACGUCCAGCUUCCCCCGCCCUGCUGCUGCGAGAGUCAUAGUUAUUAAUCUGAGCACGUUCAGUCUCCUCUUCGUCCUUCUCAGUGAAUGGUUUACCUUGGCCCUCUUUUUGCAGAGCAUGGUCACUAUGCUCAGGUGUCCGGCAGCAGCAGCGUAGGCCAGCGGGGUCAUUCCGCUCUCGGACAGGGAGUCCACACUGGCCCCGAACUCCAGCAGCAGGUUCAGCAUGUCCAUGUAGCCCAGGUGAGCGUGCACACACAGCACCGGAGCGUUAUUCAGCACCUCCGUACGGUAGUUCACAUUCGCCCCGCCCAUCAUCAGCAGCCUGGACACCUGAACACCAGAGAGAACAACGGCACACACACACAUUAUACAUAUAUACACACUAGCAGAAUCAAAUUCACAGCUUCAACAGUGAACCAGCCAUACAUCCAUUCCUCCAGCCACACAGAUCAUGUGAAGGGCAUAUUCCUCAUUUUCAACAAUGAAUUUCUCCAACAGUUGUCCAUCAGUCCAUUAUCAUUCAUCUCCUAUUAAUACCAUCAGUCUAAGGUGAUAAAUGAACUGUGCUGUACCUUAAUGUUGGGAGUGUAGAGGUUUCUGAGGGAGGACAGAGCAGUUGAUAAACUCUCAGUGCUGUAGGACACCCACAGCCCCUGCAGGAUGGAUGAGGAGACCCCAACCUUCUUACUCAGGCCCUGAAAUUGAAAAGCAAAAAAAUAAAAUAAAUAAAUAAAAAUAAAAAAAAAAGUCUGUCAGCACCCGUGUCUGUUUUACCCCUGCAUUUAGCUUUAGCGUCUUUACACUGCACUUUUCAUGACGUGUUUAACACCCAGCAUAACCUUACCUUAAAUAUAUGUGCUUUGAGUAUGUGGUGUCCUAGUUCUAUAGUCUGCUGUCUGUUGAGUUUGUUCUGCUGUCUGGAGAACCAGAAGGCCAGCAGCGUGUGGCCGUUCCUGGAACAAUGGGAGAAUAGAGCAGAUCAUGAAGAUACAGCCACUCUCUGAAGGAGGGGUGUACGAACAUGCGUGUGCCGUCCCGCCUCUUCACCAGGAAGACAGACAGGUUCUCCAGUCUCUGCUGGUAAUCAUCCCAGUCCAGCGUGCCCCGCAGGGAUCCGGCGUUGAUGGCCUGGUAGAUCUGCUCGUCAGUGAGCGGGUGCAGAGAGGCCAAGGCCACAUUCAGCAGGGGCAGGGCUCUCUCAAAGGACGACUGGGUGGGAAAACGCAUGUUGCACUGCAGCAGGUACACCUCGGCCAGGCUGACGGGAACCACCUUAUAGCUGGAGCUCUUUAGCACCAGGUAUCCCCGCUCAAUCAGGUCAAAGGUCAGCUUCAGGUAGAGGUAGGAGCCCUGGCUCAGGGCCUUCAGGUGGGAGCUCAGCUUGCCGAAGCUGGUGUUGUCCAUCUUGCCGUUGAGCGAGAUGUUGUUCUGGAUCUCAGCGCUGCUGUGGAUGCGGUGCAGGAUGUAGCCCUGCAGGUCCUGGUCGAUUGCGUCGUUCUCCUCCAUGGCGUCCAAAGAGAUACGGUGGAACGGGAGCGGCUUGGUGAUUUCCUUCCAGAGAAAGAAAAACAACCAGUUUUCAGUAUAUUAAUUAAUUAGUAUAAAAUGUUUUAUAUUGUAUUUUACUGCAUUACUGCAUUUAAUGUAUGUCCCGAACUCUGUAAACAAUGCUUUCCUUCAGUGUUCCUUCUGAAUUCAGUAAGAGUAAGUGCAUUAUUAAGAUAUAUAUGGAAAAAUAGCAGUAAAAUAGAUCCUUUUGACUUCACAAAAACAAAUAUAUACGUUGACUAUACAAGUCCACUACCAGUAUUAUUUAAUGUAAAAUUCAGCUCUUUUCUCAGUGACGUUUUUGUUAUUCUGUGUCCAUUUAAAUAUACAUUAUAUACCCUAACUGCAGACAAAUCAAUAAUAAUAAAAAGAGGGGUAUAAUUAAA